GAGCUAUCCCUCCUCCCUGAGAAGAGAGAGACAGUAGUAUUAAGAAUAUCUGUGUGUGUUGAUUUUACUGUUUAAUAUUAUAAUAAAAUGCUACAGUGCCCUUGUUUUUUCAUUGAAAAAGGAAAAUUUAUUUUAAUGAAGUUUUAGUCAAAAGCAUCCCAGUUGUGCAGAGAAUUUAAUUUUCACCUCAGACCACAAAAAGGAAUGUUUGGGGGGGGUGCCUAAAUUCCUUAAGUAUCUAUUAAUUAAGACUUUUAGUGAUCAAAUCAACUUGCUAAUUACAGACAUUGAAGUUUGUUUGAAACAAAGAGGUAGGAUGAUAUAAUCCCCCUCCUUCUGGUGGGGAGAGGGAAGACUGUCCUCUUAUAACAGAAACUAUCUUGAACAAAAUAGCUGCUGCUGGACUGCAAGAUGAGGUAUGUUGCUUGUUUUUAACUCUGAAAAUAUAUCUUAUAAAACGUUACUCUUUGUCCAUGUUGUCCUUACUAAUACUGAUACCUGUCCUUAUUGCAGUGUGAUCUGUUUAGCAUGGAAAUAGCAACCUCAAGCUGUAUUUCACCAGGGCAAGUCCCAAAUACACAUGGGGCGAAAACAGAAUAACCAUGUGCAGCACCCCUUUACUCUAUGAUGGAAGUAUGGUCAAAGCAUGAGAGAUCGUUAGACCAAAGGGUAAACAAGAUCAAAAGAAAGAGACAGCUGAAAAGGAAAAUUCACCAGCAUCAAGAGCUGACAGAUGGAAGAAGCCAGCCUGGGCAACUCACUUGAUGAUGCCAUAGUUAGAGCUACAGGGACAUCUCCAGUGGAACCACCAAAGAACCAGGAAUCUUCUCUGAGACCUUUAACAAUGAAGAGUGCAGACUUAGCAUCCAAAGCUCAGAUACGUCAAACCCAAGGACAAAACAAAAGUCUCUGCUGUUUCACCGGUUAUCAUGAAAAAGCACAGAAUCCUAGGAUGGGGACAACUUUCAGGUUUCUUUAUUACAAGAUGCAACUCAAGACCAACUGUCUGAAAAGACUAGGGUAUGUAGUUAGGACCCUCUGAGAGCAUGAGUAGGAGACAAUAGUAGAAACAGACAGGAAGCCUGCAGAUUUCUUAAACAAAGCACAGUUGCCUCAGUCUUGGUGCCUAGUGAUGCUCUUUUUGCAGGGAGGACUAACAUUAUCCACCUAUAUUACAAACCUAAGCCCAGUGAAGAAAUCCACUAUUACGAUUUUACCAGCCUGUACCCUUUCGUAAACAAAAAUCAAGGAAGACCCAAUUGGACACCCCAAUACAGUUCAUGACAAAUUUGGACCCCUCACAAAUUAUUUUGGAUUUGCGAAAGUUAAAGGGUAUCCCAUGAGGCCUCUUUCUCCAAUGUUAUCUGUCAGAGCGGGUGGCAAACUUGUGUUCCCGCUCUGCCAAACUUCUGCCGAAACCGAGCAGCAGGAGAUGUGCGCCCAUACUGAUGAGGAGAGAGUAAUCCUGGGGACUUGGUGCACAGUGGAAUUGAACAUGGCUGUAGCAAAGGCAUAUGCGAUGGCAAAAAUCUACAAAAUCUGGAAUUUUGAAGAAAAGCUUGACAAACUCUUUUCAGAGUACAUAAAAUUACACCUCCAUCAGAAACAAGAGGCUUCAGAGUAUCCCAGCUGGUGCACGGAUGAAGAAAAACAAAAUAAGUAUGUUAAUGAUUUCUACUGGAAAGAAGGUGUGCAUUUACGCCAGCAUGAGAUCUCGGUGAACCCCGCUAAGCACCAAAUCACUAAACUGUUUUUAAAUGCUCUCUGGGGUAAAUUCGGCCAAAGAACAAAGCUACCCAAUACUAGCAUUGAGAGACACUGACGAACUCUUUCAGUCCCUGUUUUUCCCCCCCAAUUAUGAGGUUUCAUCCUGCAGGUUUGUCAAUGAUGAAACAGCGUGCGUGUGUUGGAAGCACGCGAAAGACCGGUACUCUGUUUCUGGCAAUACCAAUGUCUUCGUAGCCUGUUUCAUCACCGCUUACUUAGAACUAUACAACCUGCUAGACAGGCUGCAAGAGUGGUGCCUGUACCAUGACACUAACUCAGUGAUAUUCAAGAAGAGGGAGAGUGACUGAAACCCCUCUCGGGGGGAUUAUUUAGGGGACCUCAAAUGUGAGAUCCCGCCAGAUCAACACCUCACCGAGUUUGCGUUAGACGGUUCAAAAAUGUUCUGGUACAAGCUAUCGGGAGGAAAAGCCUAUAUGAAAGUCAAAGGGAUUAGCCUGAACAUAGCAAACUGGGAAAAGAUUAACUUUGACAGUUUGAAAGAUCCAGUCCUGGACUAUAGAACAGACCUGAGAGAGAACACCCCAAAAACAAUAGAGGUGCAAACAUAAGGACCAGACAUCAGCGGCAAAUACAGACAAAGACCCUUAAGAAAACACAAAGUUGUUUACAACAAGAGGGGCCUUUAAAGAAGCCCUAUGGCUUUUGAAAAUGGAUACAUAGUGGAAAUACCUCUUUUCUGUAAUUCUCAAAGGGCCUAGAAACUGUGGAAAAAAGUUACUUUAUAAGAAAUGUGUUGUCAGUUAUGCCCGAGAACAUUAUGUGCUGUUACAGUUGCUGGCAACCUCUGUAUAAAAGCUGCUUGGUAAAUAUCCCUUUAUUAAUUUUGUGGGGGGCUGCCUUGAAGAUUUUGACUAUGACUGGCUAUUUCCUACCCAUACAAAUAAAUGUGAUUAUUGUAGAUGUUCUGAUGAACUCUGCUUGUGAAAGCAAUAAAAUUGAGAAAGCCUUUACCAAGUACGUGCAC